UAAACAUUAAGCACAAGGAUUUGUUCAAAACCAGAAUAAUAUCAUUAAACCAAAUUUAAAACAUCCAAACAUUAAAAUAGUAAAUUGUUCAACAGAAGAAGCCUCGUGGCUUAAUUACAACAAUUUAAAACCAAAACAAAAUUCAAACUUAAUCUUAAUCGCUAUUCUAGUCAGAGAUAUCUAUGAACUCUUCUUCAGCAUGAUCAUCCUCAUUAAUCUCCUCCUCUUCAUAAGUGUUUCCAAAGAUGUUAUC
rnacentral:lncRNA from 1 species